CCUACAGGUGGCACGGUAGUAUUUCCUGGCCCAUAAGGGAUAAUGAUAGCCUUUUUAGAAUUUUCACCACUUUCUAACACUGCAAAAAAUUCUACAUUCACAGUUAACUGAAGUACUUUCAUUUUACUAUUCAGAAAUGAAUUUGAAUGUGUAUCGCACAAGGAUAAUAGUUACGCUGAACGGUGCCCACUGGUCACCCUAUAAAUAGUGCUCUUGUGUGUAGUAAUAUUGUAGUUCUAACACAUGUCUAAAAAUAGAAAGCUUAAAAUAGACAAUUCAUCUUUCUAUUUAGCAAUACACCAUAGAGCCUGUCACCGUCUGUAUUAUCUAAGUCACUAGAAAAUGUAGAUGAAAGAGUAGAUAAUGUUAGACAACCGAAGAUCCAGAAAAAAGAUGAAGAUCAGAAGUCAACAGAAAAUGUAGAUGAGAGUGGUACAAGUUAGACGACGGAUUGGAAUGAGAUUACUUCUUUUGAGGAGUUUAGGAUUGCAAACAUUAGACCUGUGAGAAGUAGACUACAGUCAAUGAAAACAAACAAAACGGAGAAAAGAAUGAUUUAUAUGGUGAAGGGAGAUGAAAUCACGGCCAGAGUCCAGGGAACAGACAGAAUGUCAGUUCACCAGAUAGGUGAUUACUUGACAAUAGGGAAAUCAAAUACUACUCAACAAAAUCGAAAGGAACUUUCAAGACUAGUCAAUUUGAUUCCAAAACCAACAAACAUAGUGCCACCGAUCACAUCAGCCUGGUCCAUGUUAACAAACGGUGAUGUUGACUAUCAAGUUCAAUCUUUAAACACUUUGACCGAGGCUCUUGUUGACAAAGAAGCAACCAAAAAGGCUGUAUGCAAAAAAAUGAAAGGGACAUCUGCCCAAAAAAAGGGUGACAUUGAAAAAACUAAAGAAAUUGUUGGCCAUGUUAUAGCCGAACUAAAUAAAACUAAUGUAAACAAGGCAAUGCAUGGGAAAGUUUUUGAGGCCUUUGGGAAGACAAUACAGACAAUGCUGCCGACGAUUCAAGUGAACGAUAAGAAGAACAGGAUUGUGACAAAUUUAAACUUACUUACUCAUAAAACAUAGUUACAUUUCCAUGGAGAAGGAGUAGUAAGUCCUCUACUCUGCUAUUGGCAUACCCACCAAGGAAAUGGUAUUUCAUGCCCAGGAAAAACCUGAAAAUGACAAAAUGUUAAGGACUUUGAAUUUAUGAUUUAUAUUUGAAUGUACAAAUAGAAAGUACAUAAAAUAUUAAUGUGUUAACAUUUGAAUGUUAUAAGUAGCAUUAUAUUUUUUUGUUUUAAUAUCCUCAUACACAUCAGGUUUUGCUAGACUACAUUUUUUCAUUUUGUCUGCUUUUAUGUAAUUAUCGACUUGCAUUGACAAUUAUGAUAUUUGUAUUAAAUUUGCAUAACCCUAUCAUGAAAGAACGGCAAAAAUCCUCUCCAUAUAGUUAAAAAUUGUAAAGUUUAUAUCAUGCUAUGUCUUUGGUUACCCAUGAAGAAGUAGGAUUUAGACAAAGUGUAAUACUUUUUAUAAAUCAGGUCAUAAAAACAGAGACAGUUCAGAAAAUUUAUCCCCAAAAUAAAAUAUACUUAGUUACUAUUAUCAAACAGAUGAUAAUUAGAUGAUGCUUAAAAUUUCGAUCUUGUAAAAUAUAAGGUGUAUAGUAAUAAAAUGUAUUAAUAACCUUUCAA